rnacentral:lncRNA from 1 species
CCAGCAUCCAACUCGGCUACGCGUAGCAAAAGCGCUUUUUCCACAGUCAACCCGGAGUUCGUUCUAGUCUUUGCUGCAAGAGUAGGUCCCGCCUCGGCGAGCCUCGCGGCUCAGUUGUCUUUUAUGCUGCUGUCAAACAACAUCUUUGAUGAAUGGUUGUAGUCUUUGAUGAAUGGUUCUCAAGGAAGGCUGAGGAACGCAUUCUGGACUCCACAGAGAAGGUGUAAGGCGGUUUGUGUUGGAGAUUAUAUACCACUGUUGAAAAGCAACAAUACGUGGUCGUGAAUUGAUAUUGUGAUCAUAUGCAAAGGUCUCUUUGGACGGAAAGACGAGAUCUAUGACAUUGUGUGUGAAUAUCAGUAAUCGAGGACGACUUAAUAUUUCUGCAUCGGAUCACCGGUGUGCCAUGUCAUGUCAGAGACAGCCGUGGACACCAGCUCCGAGAUCACCACCAAGGACUUACAGGAGAAUUGUGGAGGAGGCAGAGAAUGGAAGAGACACACCUUUUAAUGGAAAAGCUCAUGAGGAAAAUGGGGAGCAGGAGGCCAACAAGAUGAAGAAGAGGUAAAAGGGGGUGGGAGGAAGAGGAGGAGAAAUUGGAAGGUGAUGGCGAGGAAGAGGAUGGAGAGGAAGAUGGGGAGGCUUAGGCAGCUACGGACACACAAGCAGUAGAUGAUGAGGAUGAUGAUGUUGACACCAAGAAACAGAAGACCUCUGAGGGGGGUGCCUGGGUGGCACAGCGGGUAAGUGUCUGCCUUCGGCUCAGGGCGUGAUCCUGGCGUUAUGGGAUCGAGCCCCACAUCAGGCUCCUCCGCUAUGAGCCUGCUUCUUCCUCUCCCACUCCCCCUGCUUGUGUUCCCUCUCUGGCUGGCUGUCUCUAUCUCUGUCAAAUAAAUAAAUAAAAUCUUAAAAAAAAAAAUAAGAA